CGCCGAGCCUACGGACUGCAUCCCGCUUCUUGCUACUUUACUUUCCCGGUGGAUCCUGCACCAUAUUAUCAUUAUAACAGCUACCAUAUUAAUGGCGUCAUAGAAAAAGUUAUCGAUGAUGCUUUCAUGGGAAACAGGCGAUUGCACCUCAUUGAUUUCUCCAUCCCGUAUUACUACAGGUUUGAGAAUUCAGUUCUUCGUACACUACCGAACUUCUUCGGCUAUCCUCUACCCGUCCGUGUAAGUUACAUACUUCCACCAUUUCUGAAAGAAUAUGUAGAGUUCUCACGCCAAAUGGAGUUUUUGACUAAGGAUGCCAAGGAAGUUAAUGUAAAGUUGGAGGAUGAGUUGAAAGUGGUUUAUGGCAAUAGUUUGGCAGAAGUGGAUGAAUGUGAAAUAGAUUUCAAAAGAAGAAGAGAUGAUGAAAUGGUGGUGAUUUACUAUAAAUUUAAACUUGAUAAGUUGGUAAGAGAUGCAAAAGCAAUGGAGAGAGAGUUAGUAAGAUUGAAGGAGAUAAAUCCGACGACUGUAAUCAUGCUGGACUUUUAUUCUAAUCAUAGCGACUCCAAUUUCUUGACAUGUUUCAAGGAUUCAUUUCAGUAUUCCUUGAAGACUCUUGAUUACUGGGCGGAGUUGGACCAUUAUCUUGAUGGGAAGUAUGAGUGGGAGUGCAACAUAGAGGCAGGGGAAGGUAAUAAUAUAAUUAGGCGACACCCAGCUUUGACAGAAUGGCAACAUCUAUUUUUAAUGGCUGGCUUUAGUCGAAUUCCAUUAAACCACAGGAAAGAUAAUCUUAGCGUUGAGGAUGAAAGCUUCUUAGAAAUAAUGGGGAAGGAAGAAGAGUGCUUGAUUUUAGGUAACAAGGGAUGUCCAAUGUUUUUCUUAUCGGCAUGGAAACCCAAAGUUGAAGAUGGACACUUCAAUUCCAAUUCCACCAACCAUAAGUUUGGACAAGGUAUUUUUUUUUCUUAAAUUAUAUAAUAAUUUUACAAUUGAAUUAUGGUUGAACCACCAAAUUAUCAAUUUAUUGAUUCUAUCAAUCUCUUUGAUUCGAUCUAAUUCAAAUAAUCUUAAAUUAUAUAUCAAUUUUUAUUUGCUGCAUUGAAAAUUUAUAAAUUUCUAUAUUAAUAGCCAACCAUAUGAUACAUCCAUACUAAAAUAAAUUAUUUUUAUUUAUAAUACUAAUAAAAGUUAAAAUUUUAAUUAAUUGAAGGAUUUUUCUGUUAAAAUUAACUGUCAAUUGUUAAAUGGUAAUGAUUACUUUUUUUGUGUUAUUUUCAUCACAAGGCAUGGAAGGAUUGUGACACAUGGUGAAAAUUAAUUUUUAUUAAAAAUAAUAAAAAUUAUAAUCAUUAUAAAAAUAUACAAAAAUAUUUUUAAAAAUUACAAAAGAAAUUAUUGAAAAAAUAGAAAAUUGCACAAAAAUGAUAAAAUUAUUAUAAAUAAAAAUAAAAAUAAUUAAAAACUUGCAAAUAUAUUAAAAUUAAAAAAUUAAAAAUUAUAUAAAUUGCAAAAAGAAAAUAUUGUAAAAAAUAUGAAAAAUAUUUAAAAAUAUAGAAAAUAAUAAAUUUUAAAAUUUAAUUCAUAAUCAAAAGGAUUUAAAAAAAUACUUUAUAAUUAAUUUGAUUUAGUUGAAAUUAAUUAACUGAAAUAUUCAUUUAACCAAAAUUUAUUGCAUAUACAAAAUUAAUUUAUUUUAAUUAUAGUUUACAUAUUAUUAGUUUAAGAAUAUUUUAAGUUAAAAUAUAUAUUUAGGACAUGAUUAGUAAUAAGUUGAAUUAAACAGAAAGUGACCAAAUUAAUAAAAGUUGACUCAUUUUAUUUGACUAAUUAUAGCAUUUUUGGAAUAUCUUUGUAGGUUUCAAUCCAAAUCCUCUGCCUCGUCAACCUCUUCAACCUUUUCUAGAGGUAUUACGUUAUUCAAGACUAAGGAUGAGUUUGGAUGGACAGUGUCUUUAGCUGCGGUUAGUGUAAAAAUAGCGGUGGCGGUGAGAUUAGACACUGUAGCGAUUUGUAGCGUGAGAUAAAAAGUAAACUAAACACACCGCAGUGCACCCAAUCCACCCUAAACAAAUAGUCUAUCUUUUAUACAUGUUUAAAUGCAUUUGGGCCAGUCGGCUUGAAUUAUUUUUUUACAAUAAAAGGUAUAAUUUUUAUUUAAAUUAUUUAAAUUUAAUUAUAAAAAUAAAAAUAUUCAUAUUUGAAAUAUUUGAAAUAUUUUAAUUUUUAAAAUAGUAAAAUUAACUAUUUUAGGUAGCCUAGACUUGACUCAGAUGAGUUUUCAAAUUUUUUUGGUUCAACCCAACUUUAACUUAUGAAUACCUAUCUCUAUAAGAGAAAAUUAAAUUAUUUGAAUAAGUACAAUUAUGACAUUAUGUUAUUAAUUUGUUUAAAUUUAUGAAUAACUGACUGAAAAAAGUAACCUUUCAAUUUUAAUUAUCUUUAUCAAAUUAAAAGUACAAUGCCAAAAUUCUUUUCAUUUAGAGUGUUAUUUCAAAUUUUCAAAUUUUAUUUGUGAUAAUUGUUUCUUAUUUAAUAAUUUUACAGGGUUUGAUAUUGAAUCGAUUAGCUGCACUGGCUGAGAUACAUGACAUAUCAAAAGAUUUAUGUUGUAAAUACCAACUUUCAUUGGCUUUAACAUGGGCUUCUAAGGUUAACAAUAUGAAUGAAACUAUCUCAGAUCUAAACAAGAAACAUGUUGUUUUUAUCCAAAGUAAUUCUUGUUAUGUGAAAGAUAGCAAAUCUUAUAAUUUUAUGCUUGUUUCUGAAGACAUGAUUAGUGGCCUCACUAUUGAGAAAGCAUUUGAAUCAAGGGACGGCUACCGUUUUGAACCAUCUAUUACUAAGGUAGAAGCCUACAGAUAUUUCAUGUUAGAGGAUUAUAACAUAGAUGUUGCUGUUGCUAUCUGUCUACAAAAUCGUCACACAAGUGAUGAAGUUUAUGUCGUAGAAUUUUUUUGGCCUCCAACUGAGAGUGAAAUAUCAAAAUCUUUAGCUCUUCGUAUCUUCGAUGACUUCAAACAUAUGAAGACAACGUUUGUAACAGUAAAAGUUCAAGGUCCCGAAAUUAAGUUCCAAGAAGAAGCCAUUUCAAGCAUUCCUACAUCUUCAAACACAGCAAUGCCUUUGAAAAUAGCUGAAAAUGCGCAUAUUGAGCAGGUAAUUACAUUACCUUAUAUUAUUUCAACACUGAAUUAAUUAUGGGUUAGCAUUUAUGGUUCUAAUAUGAUAAUAACAUUUGCUCUAAGAAGAGGUGGUUCCUAAUUUUGACUCUCUGAUUUCUUUACAUUCUUCGUCUAACACACUAAAAGGGCAUUAUAACAAGGUCAUUAUUUAUUCUUCCUUGUUAAUGUCAUAGACUCGAAAUCUAGUUUUUCUUUAACCUAAUCAGUUCCAUAGAAACCCAUAAGUAAAAACUUACAUCAAGACUGCAGCUUAAUAAAUUAAUUUCACGGUAAAUCUAGUUACCUUUUUUACAAUAUUGGUCGAAUAUCUUUUCAACCUCGUAUUCAUAUUUUCUGCUUAAAUAUUGUAUAUAUAUGUAGUAUCAAAUAGAUUUUCCCUUUGGAUAAAAUAUUGAAAUCAUAUAAAGUAAUAUACAUGAUUUAUUAUUCUCAUUUUUCAUAGAUUAUUUUCAAUGAUGACUCUCAGAUUGUGGAAACAAAGCGAAACAAACAGAGAAAGUCGUGGUCAAAGGUUUGGGUGGACUUUGAUAAAUCUGAAGAAGAAGGAAAACAAGUAGCCAAAUGUAAACACUGCCCCAAGGUGCUUACAGGGUCAAGUAAGAGUGGAACCACACACUUGAAUAACCACUUGAAAGUAUGUCCUGGUAAGAAAAAACAAAAUCAAGAAAGCCAGUUGAUACUUCCAGUUGAUACCAAUGAAAGAAGCUCAACGUUUGAUCAAGAAACGAGUCACUUGGAUCUUGUGAAAAUGGUUAUUAGGCAUCAGUAUCCAUUAGAUCUGGCUGGUCAAGAAGCCUUCAAGAAUUUUGUGGAAGGUUUGCAGCCAAUGUAUGAGUUUCAAUCAAGAGAUAAAUUGUUAUCUGACAUACAUCGCAUCUAUAAUGAAGAGAGAGAGAAACUUCAGUUGUAUUUUGAUCAGCUUGCUUGCAAAUUAAAUUUGACAGUAAGUUUGUGGAAGAACAAUCAUGCAAAGACUGCAUAUUGUUGUUUGAUAGCACAUUUUAUUGAUGAUGGUUGGGAACUAAAGAUGAAGAUUCUUGGCUUGAGGAAAUUAGAGCAUGUAUAUGACACAAAGGUCGUUGGUGGAAUUAUUCGGAGCUUUGUUUCGGAGUGGAAUAUAAGUAACAAAGUAUGUUCCAUAACUGUGGAUAACUCUUUUCUGAAUGAUGGUAUGGUUCAUCAGAUAAGAGAAAAUUGUGUUAGCGAGCAGGGCUCCCUUUCUACAGCCCAUUGGUUCAUCAGUUUCACACUUCUUGAGGAUGGGUUUCGUGAGAUGGAUACCAUACUUUCAAAGUUAUGGAAAUCCAUUGAAUAUGUCACUGAAACAACGCAUGGAAAACUGAACUUUCAAGAAGCUGUAAAUCAAGUGAAGCUACAAGGUGGGAAAUCAUGGGACGAACUUUCUUUCAAGCUGGAAUCAGACUCUGACAUACUUGAUAGUGCCUUGAGAUCAAGAGAAAUAUUUUGUAAGCUGGAGCAAAUUGAUGACAAUUUUAUGCUAAACCUAUCAAAGGAGGAAUGGGAGAAGGCAGUAACUCUACAAAAUUGUUUCAAAUGUUUUGAUGAUAUCAAAGGAACUCAAUCCCUUACUGCAAAUUUGUACUUCCCUAAGCUCUGCAACAUGUAUGAGGAAUUUGGUCAACUAAAAAAGAGCAAUCAUCCGUUUGUUAUAUUGAUGAAGAGGAAAUUUGACAACUAUUGGAGCUUAUGUAAUGUGGCUUUCACUAUUGCGGCUGCUCUUGAUCCAAGGUUGAAGUUUAGAUCCUCAUGUAAUGAGACCUAUGAUCUUGAAAGUAUGAUGAAGCUGAUAAGAUUUCGUAAAGUUCUCAUGGAUGUUUACUCUGAGUAUGCUAAUGAAGCCAAAAAUCUGAGUGCAUCAUCUUCAGUCUUGGAUGAUUACAAUUCUUUAGCAGCACAGACCACAAAAGAUUGUAUUGUGAGCUACUUCAGUAAAUUUGCAUCUGCAAGCAAUGUUAAAGAGGUGGCUUCACAGAAGUCAGAGCUUGACUGUUACUUAGAAGAGACAUUGCUUCCCUCGGAUGCAGACAUACUUGGUUGGUGGCGUGUUAAUUCUCAAAGGUUCCCUACACUUGCAAAGAUGGCUCGUGAUUUCCUCGCAAUCCCAGUAUCAGUUUCCUCACCAUGUUCGAAUAUUAGUGCCAUGACCAUAAAUCCAGUCUACAGUAGCUUAGACCCUGAGAGCAUGGAAGCUCUGGUAUGCAGUCAAAAUUGGUUGGAAUCUACAAAGGAAGUAAGUCUAACUUUGACUUUGUUUAGACCCUUUUGUUUAGCUAGAGUUUAUCAUUCUAUUUUCCUACACUUCAAUAGAGGGUCUACUUUUUAGAGUUACAUCAAGUUUUCACUUAUAUGAAUUCAUUUUCUAUCACAGAUGAGGGAGAUCAUCAUGAGCCCAUGCAAAAUAUGGUAUUAAUAUCCAUUGAAUCCUUUUUCCUACAACAUGUCUAAGAAUUUCAAAAGAUUGAAUUACAUUAAUGCAUUUUCAUUUCACAGGAUAAAAGGAAAAGAAAGAUGGAAGAGAAUGACACUUCUACUGUAAAAGUUUUCAAAAACCGGCCUCAUGAAAAAGCUAGUAGUAAUGGAGACAUUGCUAGUGAUUGCAACAAAAAUGGUAUUUGAACCAUACUUGCCAUUAUUAUCUGUUUUGCUACUUAAACUUGGUAUCAAUUGAACUGUUGAAAUGCCAGAUGGUAGUCUAUCUUUUGACAAUUGGAUGGAGCCACAAUGUUCUCCUUCAGAGUCUGUUGGUGAAAAAGCAGAGAUCAUGGAAGCUUCGGUUUGCAAUCGAGAUAGGUUGGAAUCGUCAAUAGGAAGUAAGUUCUUAUGGAGAAACUAGUAGUGGAAACAAAUCUAAAACUACUUAAACAAUGGUUUCCUUUAACAUUUGGCAAUGGCUCACUCCAUUGUUAAGCAAAAUUUCUUGAUACAGAAACUAAUCAUGGAAGAAACAUUGCUGCCGCAAUUGAAAUUCCAAAUGAUGAACCAUCAUUCAACAGUAAUCAAUCGGAUCAAUUUCAAAGCUCAUCUUCCGAGUCUGAUGUUGAGACAACAUUGAGGGAGCAAGGGUCAUGGUGUAGAGAGGUUCAUACUUUAUUUCAAUUUUCUUUAUCUACAUUCCUUUACUUUUUAUGCAUAUAUUAGUGUUCUUACAUUAUGAAUUCUAAUUUCUUGUUCUUAUAAGGACGUUCGGACAUAUUUAGUCUCAAGCUUUACAAACAAGGAGAAAAAACGAUUAAAUAGAUGGAAAAGGUGUGAGUUGAGCGGGUAUGUUGCUAGUUUUAAUUAGUUAAUAUCAGAAUAAUAAGUGAUCAUUAUAAUCUACCUAUAUAUAUUAGAGUUUAUGUUUCAGGGAAAAUCUAACUAUAAAUUAAAAUUUACUUUUCACAGAAAGAAAAUUGGACAAGACAAGGAAUUUCAAUUAAUGGGCGAGAACCUAACACCUUUACUCAUGGUGCCUCAUUGUGAUGAAACACUAAGAGAGUACUAUAUCGAUGAUUCGGUAAUUACUUAUUACGUGAUUGAACCAUAAAUUAGUUUUUUAAUUCGUAUAUUGUUAUCAUUUUUAUAAUUAUAAUUAGUGUUAUGUUUUACUCAUCUUCAAAGUUAAUAGUUCUACAAUUUAAUAUUUUGAUUGAAGAUAUACUAAUGAUAUUAAUGAUUAAUAUUACAUGCAGGUUGUUAAUACUUAUUUUAAAUUGCUUAAGAAGAGAUCCGACAAAUUUCCAAAUGUAUACAUCAAACAUUAUUCGUUUGAUUCUCUAAUAGCUGUAAGUAUUUUUAUCCUGCCAAAAAUUAUUGGUAUUUUUAAAUGAAAUUAUUAGUAUAUUAUAUAAAAUUAUAUAAAGAGAGUACCAUUUAACUUGUAUAUUUUUCAAUUACCAGACUUGCUUAAUAGAAGGAUCCAAAUCAGAAGAUGAAGUAUUAGCCUGGUUUAAAGAUGAAAAGUUAAGAGGGGUCCAUAAAGUAAGCUCAAACUUGUGAUGUAAUUUGGAUUAAAAUAGUUGAUCAUAUCUAAUUGUAAUUCCUUUUUUGUAGUUGUUUCUACCAAUGUGUUUAUCAGCACAUUGGGUUCUUUUCUGUGUAGAUACCAAAGAGAAGAAGAUUUCUUGGUUAGAUCCGAUACCAUCUUCUCGGAUGAUGUCUAUUAAUAGUGUCGAAAAACAAAAAAUAUUCCAGUGGUUCACACUCUAUCUACUGCCACAAUUUGGUUAUAAUGAUGCAGAGAAAUGGCCAUUUGAAGUGCGUACUGAUAUUCCAAAGCAAGAAAAGUAAGAUUUCAUCUUUCAAAACUUACAAGUUUUCUAUAUUUUAUUUACUUAUCAUCUUACAUUUUUUUUUCAUUUCUUUUACUACAACUAAAGCUCGAUUGAUUGCGGAGUAUUCGUGAUGAAAUAUGGUGAUUGCCUAAUGCAUGGUGAUUUCUUCCCUUUUACACAAAAAGAUAUGAUUCAUUUCCGACGUCAUAUCUUUCUUGAUAUAUACCGUGGAAGGUUACAUGGUAAAAGAUAGACAAAUUUGUCACUUGUUUUGGAGCUGAAAUUCAAUGGAUGUGUUUUUUUUCUGUAAUGUUUUUUUAUUGUUAGUUUUGUUAAAUCUGACCCUUUUAUGCACGUAUAGUGUUUUCGUCCUUAGAUUUAUACUUAAUUUCCAUCGCAAUUGAAAUAAUGUUGAGUUUUUGCACUUUAAUUUAGCUCAUGCUUAAACAAUUGACUCCAUUUUGGAUGUUAAGUUUUUCUCUUUCUCCUUUCAUUAUUCAUGUUUCGGAAGCUAAAUUUGUUAUUAAAUCAAUAAAAACAGGCCCAUGUUAGUUCUCCAGCCAAAUACUUAAUUGUGAGUCGCUAAAAUUUUAAAUUUUAAAAAUAUUGGUGAUGAAAUUGAAAGUUUUUGAAGUUAGUUGAUCAAAAUAAAGCCUACCCUAAAGUUAGGUGACUAAUAUUUUAGUCAUUAUUUAGGUUAAAGAAAGUAACUUGACUCUUUUUGAAAGGUUAAUAAUUUAAAUUAGUUUUUAAAAAAUAAAAGUCAACUUGACAAAAGAUAUAAAAGUUAAGUUAAAUUUAUCAUUAUGCCAUUUUAAAAUUUAAAAAACACCAAAUUAAGAUAUAGGACUAAAUCCAUAACUUUCAUAAAUUACAGAGAUCAAUAGCAAAAUUUUAACUGUAAGAAAGCUUAUGAAUAGCACGUAUAAAGGUAAAAGUUUUGAGGUCGUAUUAGUGGAUUGCGUUUCUACUCUUAAAAACUGGCAUGGGUGACAGAAUAACCAAACAGUAACACGUGAUGUGUCAUGUGUACCUCAUGCUAAUAUACAAGGACAAGCUUUUUAACAAUAAAAAUGGAUGAAAAUUUUAAUAGAAUGAUUAAUUUAUUCUUUGAUCUAAUAUAUAGUAACUAAUUUGUCUAUUUUCUGAAUAAAGAGGACAAAAUACAAUCUAAUUCCCAAUACAAGGGCUCCAUGAUACUUUUACCUCUCACAAACUCUCAUCGAAUAUGUGAAGGGUCAUUUGUUGAGUAGAGAUAAACUCAGCAAUAAGUUUGGUUCGCAUCAAAGAAGCGAGACAAAAGGUGUCGCUAUUGUAAGAAGUUAUGUCAUGUCAAAGCAGAUUGUUAUAAAUUACGAAAUAAAAGGGCUGCUAAGAGUAACGAGAAAGAUAUAGCUGGCGCUAAUUUGGCUGAUAAUAGCGAUGCCGAUUUCUUGUUAGUGUCAAUGAGUGAUAGCUCCAAGAUUACGUCUGAGUGGAUCUUAGAUUCGGGAUGUUCUUUUCACAUAUGUCCCAACAGAGAAUGGUUUUCCACAUAUAGUUCGAUUAAAGGUAGUGUUGUGCGCAUGUGAAACGAUUCAUUCGGUAAGGUAAUUGGUAUUGGUACUGUUAAAUUAGGAUGCACGAUGAGACAAUUAGGACACUCUCAGAUGUCAAGUAUAUACCUGAUUUACAAAAGAAUCUCAUCUCCUUGAGUAUUUUAGACUCAAAAGUUUGCAGAAUCAACAUUGAGUCGAGCGGCAUUAAGGUGUCUCGUGGGGCUCUCAUUUUAAUAAAAGGUAAAAGGACCGACAAUAUAUAUAUUCUAGAAGGUUCUAUAGUGACCGGUGAAACCAGAUGUCCCUCGUCCAUUACGGAGUCAGAGUCAACUCGUUUGGCACGGAGACAACUUAGUUAUAGGAGGAAAAAGUGUUUGACUAUUUUGUUGAAGAGAGAUUCUCUUUUGGAUGUAGGUUUUGAAAAGUUACAGCACUGUGUUCGUGAAAGUCAUACUCGAGUUAGUUUUGAUUUCGCAGUGCACAAGUCAAAGGCUAGAAGUCUUCCAGGUUCUAAGCACAGAUUCAACUCAAUUAAUUCCCUGUAUAGUUCAAGAUAGGCUCAUGGCAGGUUUUGGCAAAGAUGGCGUUGUGGAAAUAUGAGUCAAUGUAGAGAUUUGUUGAGUAUGACUCCUAUUUUAGUCAAAUUUGAGAAAUAAUCUUCCAGUUAAAUUUUGUUUAUUUGUUUCAAUCAAACUCUUAUUAGUCUAAAUUAUUUUAUUAUUAUUUUAUCUAUGGAUUUAGCCUAUAAAUAUGCUCUUUUACAACCUUAGAAAAUACACUUAUUAGAGAUUAGAACUCAUAACAAUUUUAGAUAUUUUUGUGUUUAUGUUUUAAGGGUUUUUUAUUUUUGGGGUUUAGUUUUUAUGUCCAUCUUUUGUACUCUUCGUUCCUUGCCAUUAUAGUAAAAUCAUCUUUGUUUGUGGUUUUUUAUCCUCUUUGGAGUAGUUUUUCCACGUUAAAUUUGUGUGUUCAAUUUCUCAAUUUAUUCCUCUAUUUUUACUUGUUCGUUACUUAAUCGAGUCUAUCUCCAACAAUUGAAGGAGUAAGGACCAUGAACAGGUUAAUGCUUCAUUUCUUACACACACACAUAUAUAUUCCUCUGGUUUUAUGCAUAUAUUAAUGGUUCUGCAUCAUAAUUUUAUUUGAAUAUUGUUCACAUUGGAUGUUAAGGCAUAUUUACUUGAAAAAAAAUUACUUGAACAGGUUCUCAUGAAGAGGUUCAACAAGGACCAACUUGAUUGUAAGGUUGAAACUGCCAAAAAUAAAAUUUACUUAAAAAAUGAAUAGUAAAAAAUGACAAAUAGGAUUGCAUCCACAAAAAUCGGUAGAAAUUUUAUUCCCUUAACUAAAAUAAUUAAAAUAAAGAGGGAGGUUUUGUUUAAAGAAAAACUUAAAAAUUAAUAUUAAGAUUUGGAAAAAACAAAGAAAGCAAUAACUAAAAUUCCAAGGAAAAUCAAUGAGAUGAAGUUUCUAAUCAAAGUAAAUUUUUCGUUUAAUUCAAAGGUUUGAUCAUUGAUGCAAAAAUAAAUUUCAAUAUUUUUUAAUAAAUUAGUUAUAGUUAUCGACGAUUGUCAAGUAACUUAAUAUCUUCUUACCUUUCAUUAUUAACAAACAACCUCAUAACGACCACUUAAGAAUUUAAUUUAUCAAUAGUUUUAAAGAACAAAAGAAACUUAAUUCUAAAAAACAAAUGCACAUCAAAGUUUAUUUAAAUAAGAUUGCAUGCCUACAUACAUAAAUUAUUAUGCAAUCGCCACAAUUAUUAGAAACCAAUUGAUCAACUAAUUAUCUAAUUCACAAAGCAAUUAUUCUAAGCUUUCAAAUAUUGGUCAUAUAUUUAACAAACUUGAACAAUUGUAAUUAAACCAAAAGAUAUGCAAAUACCAAAGAACACAAAAAAGAUUAAAAGCAAAUUAAAUCUCACAACCUGUAGAAUCGAACUUCAAAUUUUACUUUAACUAGAAAAGAGGAGUUUAGCAAGUCAUAAAGAAAAUAAAACGCAAAGCGAAUUAAAAUUGGAAACGGAGAUCCUUCAUCUCUAUUCUAAGAUCCUAUUUAUAGAGUUUAUGGAGUCUUAACUGACUUCAAACUAGGGUUACAAAUUAGCAUGGUUUCAGAUGGGGGUUGAGGUGUAAUGUAUUUAACUUACUUUUUGUUUCACGUUACAAUAUUACUACAAUAUCUAAUCUCACAUACAUGAUUAUUUUACACUAACGCAGGUAAAAGUACCAUUCAUCCAAACCCACAUUUACACUUAAAUACUCAAAAAGACAAAAGUAACCAUUCAUCUUAAUUUUGAAAUAGCAAACAAACCCACAAGACACGGGCAAUGAUGUCAAGCCUCGAUGAAAAGGGGUUGUGGCAUGAAACUCGGGCCGCUGGCUGCUGUGCUGGAGCACCCCUUGCUACUUUGGGCCAGCGCUAGUGAACUUGGUUUUGGAUCAAUGCGUGAUUAGAGAUUUUUUUUUUCUUUUUACCGUCCACAAUUAAAGCUUAUUCCUUAUAAAAUUGGGAACAACAAAAUAAUAUAUAUAUUUUUUUGUAAAGAAGAAUAGCUUUAAGCAUUGUGAAAAUAAAAUGCGGUUUAAAGUAUUCUUUUUAGCCACUAACUUUGGGAGAAUCUUGAAAUUAAAAAAAAAUUCAUACCUUUUAUUUAACUUUUACGUAAUAGUCCGUGGGCCCUAUUCAAUCUUUUGGUUCGGUGUAUUGACCUAAUACGGGUCUAUUACAUUAUGAAAAUACCCCAAAAUAUACUAAUUUCUAUUUCCUUCCUUUUCUCAGUUUAGGUGUUGCUUUAGUUUUAUGCCCUGAUUUACCCUCUCGAUUCACGCUUCUGUUUUACCCAAAAUCCACCGUCUUCUGUUUCUUCCUUCUAGCUUUCUUCUCCACUCUCCUCGCCGUCUUUUCCUUCUCUUUUUUACAUCUCUUUGGCAUCACAACUGGACUUAGAACACCGAUCAGAAAGCACCCUCCAUCUCACGUUUUCCGGCGAAACUGGUGAAGUUUUUACUAUUGUGUCCAUGGGAACCGGUAAAGAAGAUACAGCAGUCUUCCUGGAUCGUGCUUCUCGAUCAACCAGAGGGAGAAGGUGAAUCUUCAACCUAAAUUAAGAUAGGAUUCCUUUUAUUUAGAGCCACAAUAUUGGGAGUAGCUAGAAAUUAUGAUCAGUUUUAGGUUUUGAUUAAAGGAUUCAGAGGCAUUAAAGUUUAUUAGUUUUAGGUUUUGAUUAAAGGAUUCAGAGGCAUUAACCCUUUUUCUGUUUGUGGUUCUCUCCUUAGGAGGAGAAUAAUGUCAAUUACGAAGAAGAGCCAGAGGUUGCUGAUGUGUUUGAUAGUGACUUCGAUGAAGAUGUUUGUAUUGCUCUUUUCUCUACAUUUGAUUUAAUUCAUUUUCUAUAAUUACUCUUCCGUUGUAGGAUAUCUUUCUGUGCUAAGAGAACUUCACACCUUUGGUAUCUUGAAAAUUGACUCUCUUCUAUGGCUUGGCUGCUAGGAACCUGAGCCAGAUGAGGAAGUAGAAAAUGAUGCAGAUGAAAGGUUUAGCUUCUUUUACCUUUUUUGUAUUGUAUUUACAUCUCCAUUUCAUUGCCCUUAUUUUUAUAUUUAAUCGCCCUAGCAGGUUUCGCACAAAGAAGCGUCUGAUAUUUCCUGGAAAGCCUUCUAUGAAGAAAAAGAAAGUUCUUUCAAAUUUAGAUGGUGAUUCCAAGGAUGAAAAUCUUACUCAAAAGACUUCCUCUACACAGCAUCAUGAUGCCCCUGAUGAUGCAGAAGGUGAAAGAAUUAUAAGGAAAUCUACAAGAACUUCAGUCAUUGUUAGGCAAGCUGAGCGAGAUGCGAUACGUGCUGCUCUGCAGGCUACAAUGAAGGCAAGUUUUUUGUUUAUUUUUUUCUUCUUUUAUAGGAAAAUAUUUCUAGUAGACAUUGUUAUAUCAAAAAUGGGAAAAUAAAAUGGAUCAUGGAAUUGGUUACUGCAUAUAUCUUUUCUAACUGAUAUUUAUAUGUGUAUAAAUAUAUAUUCUUUUGUAUAUAGAUGAGAUCUAGUUUAAACUUAAGCAAAAUAAUACAAGAAGUGUUUUCAUAACGACUGCUUUGAGUAUUAUACCAUUUGAUGUUUGUUCUUGACUGUACUCUUGUUCUUGAAGCUUGAAUUUCACCGGUGAGAGACUUGGGUAUAUGUUGGAGGGAGCUUAGGGGGGAUGAUUGUCUCAAAGUGCCAUAGUAUUUCCUAGAUUCCUGAUGUGUGAAUUGACGUCUUUGUACAAGUAAAUGACAUUCCUCCCUUACUUUAAAAAAGGAAAAGAAAUAAUAUAAAUAAAAGGAAAGUGUAAAUCAAACCGAAUGGGCAUCUCAAUAAUUUUUCUUGAAGUACCCAUCUCCAGCACUUGUGUCCAACAUGUGGAUAUGGAGUUAUUACCUCUAAAGAUCGUUAGACCUUGUGUCCAACCAUGUCCAGCACUUGUGUCCAACAUGUUUUCUGUUGCCUUAGACCUUGUCAUGCUACUUCUAGCAACAGAGUGCAACUUUAUUAUCUAUGUUUAGAUAAUUAUACAUAGAAUGUAUAAGCUUAGAUUAUUAUACAUAGAAUGUCCUAAUAAAGAUAUCAAGAAUUUCACACUACACUUUAUGCACAAAUCUGAGUGUUGGUUAUCUAAUUGAGCAUUGAAAUGCAUAGCUUUUUAUGGUCACUUGCACUUGUUUUCCCCUCCAUUUGAGGUUUGCAUUUUCUUUGAGACCAUAAUGUAGUUAGAAGCAAUAAAAAAACAAUCACUGUCUUUUACUGCAACUUCUGUAAUCCUUUGGUUGAAACUCAUGAACUAUUCAGAAAUGUGAAACUGUCAAGUUGUACACGGUCAGAAUUUGAGGCAUGUCUGUGUGUGUAUGUAUUGUUUGAUUGUAUAAUUUGGAAAGAGAGAUUGAAACCUCGUGCUUUCUUUGAGUUUAUGCCUUAACUUGUAUGGAACCUUCAUGGUAGUAAUUCUGAAUAUAUCUUUGGGCAGAUUGUUCUGUCUGGUUUUGCGGCAGCAGAUGAACAAUUAAGGCUCACGACUAUGGUGUUCAAGAACAUCUUUCCGGAUAUUGAUAUCAAUACUGUGAGUUCACUUAGACUGUUAAAUUAUAGUAUCCAAAGUGAUCUCAUUUCUUUUCUUCUUCCCUCUUUAACAUUGUUUGGACAUGAAUGUUUCAGGUUAAACUUUCUUCUUGCCAGAGGAUUGUGUUGCUUAACUACAAUAAAGACACGAAGCUUAUUGAUUUUCGACAUUAUUCUAUCAGACUACAGCCUGUUGGUGUCUCGCGUAGAAUUCAAAAAUUCGUGCAGAACCAUCAAGUGCCUGAUCUUCGGAAUCUUCAAGAUGUGAGCGACUUUGUAUUGUUAUGAGCUAUACGUAUUUAUAGUACUGUCCUUUUGAAUGGUAUACUCUUUGUGAUUCGUUUAGUUCUCCUCACACCUUUGAUCUAUUAUAUGAAGAGCGGGUUAUGGAUCAGAAAGCGAAGCUGAUGAGGAAGCUGCAACAGUUACUCUGACGAGUGAUCUUAGUCGAGUUAAUCGUGCCUCUACAAAAAGCGCAGUUAAGCUUCAAGAAAUUGGACCUAGAAUGACUCUCCAACUCACCAAAAUUGAGGGUGGACUAUGUUCUGGUGAAGUUAUGUUCAGUGAAUAUGGUAUGUUCAUCUAUCCAUGUGAAAACAAGAGAAGAAUAAGAAUUUAUCUCGAAAAAGAAAGAAGUCUCUUAACCUUAUCAUUUACAUGCUAGAUUAUUUUGCUGAGACAUGUUCUAUAACGUGCCUUUAUUCAACUAGCAUAUUUAUUUAACUAUUUUGUUAUUUAUCAGGCAAUGGUGGCAAUAAGAAAGAGCCAGGCAAUGAGGGUAAUGAAAAGGAAGACGGUGACAAUGAUGGCCAAAUGGAGGAUAGCGAUGAAGAUGAUGAAGCGGAUAACGAGGAAGAUAUGGAAGAAAGUGAAGAAGAUUAGUGCUUUAGCAAAGUGGAAGGUGCAAUACAACUUCCAUUUUCUGAUUAAAUGACAUGGCACUUGACAUUAGCCAUGUUCUUUACAUGGGGAAGAUGCUUAUCUGGACUGAGGAUCUGAUAAGCUUUUGUGCCAGUUAGCCUCUUGUUUUUGCCUUUUUACUUCCCAGCUUUGUCUGUUUCCUCCUAAAUUUUGGCUUAAGUUUGUUGUAGAAGAUCCAUAGAUUUUGAUAUAAGAAAGAAAAGGCUAUAUUUUCAACUUUUUUUCUCAAAAUAUUUGUACUAAUAAAUCAAUUCACGUUCCUUAUGUGCUAAUAAUAUUUUAAUAGCAUGAACAUUGGCAUGGUAUCUCAGCAUGUCAGAGAAAACUCCCUGCAAGCAGUAGAAGACACAAUGAGAGGUUAAAAAUAUCUGUAGGCUUAUAUUUGGGAACAUAACAGAUACAAUAAGGUAAUACAUAUUAAGUUGAUUCUGAACCUAUUCUAUUGAGAAAUUUAAACAACAUAGAUUAUAAAUUAUAUUUAAUAAUAAUUAUUUUAAAUUAUAUUUUAUAGUAUUAUAUAUUAUGAUUUUAGUAAAUUCAUAUAAUAAUAUUUAAUACUACAUAGAUUAUAAAUUAUAUUUAAUAAUUAUUAUUUUAAAUUAUAUUUUAUAGUAUUAUAUAUUAUGAUUUUAGUAAAUUCAUAUAAGAAUAUUUAAUACUAAGAAUUUUAUCAAAUUAUAUAUUUUUAUUAAAUUAUAUUUAAUAAUAAUUAUUUUAAAUUAUAUUUUAUAGUAUUACAUAUUAUGAUUUUAGUAAAUUCAUAUAUUUUAUUAAAUUAUAUAUUUUUAUUAAAUUAUAAUAAUUAUGUUAAAAUAUGAUUAAAUUAUUUAUUAUUUAUAUUAAUAAUCUUAUUAAAAAUUGAUAACAAUAACAAUAAUCAUCUACCUAACAAAAAUUCUGCAAAGAGUAUUCUAGUCAUUUUAGUUUUUUUCCUUAUGCUAUUACACAUCUUAUUACAUUCAACCAAACACAAGAAUACCAUUACGCCUCUAUUCCAUUCCAUUUAACCAAACAAAAUAUUUACCUAUUACGUCUCUAUUUCAUUACGCAUUUAUUUCAUUACACCUCUAUUCCAUUACAGCGAACCAAAUGUGCCCUUAGUUUUUAAAAUAUUAUUUUAGAAUAAAUAAUAAUUUGGCAAAUAAUUAAAUCCAAAUGGAAGCCAAAAUUUGAAAAGGCUGUAUCACAUUAUUUCCAGAACCACAAGGAAAAGAAGAAACUUCAAAGUUGAAACAGUGUUUUCCGCGUGGAGUAUCUCCAUCAAUCAAGGACUCGCGAUUGCUUUUACUUUGGGAUAAACUAACUUUUAAUCUUUGAUUUUGAUAUUUUUUUAAUUGAGUCCUUAAUUUUUUUGGUUUACUUUAUUUUAGAAUUUGAUAAUUUUUUUUAAGUUUUAGGUCAUGUGAUGACAUGAUAAUAUGAUAUUAUACUAUAUUAUCACUUAAAAAAUAUAUUUUUCUUUCCGUUUUAGGAAUUUUUAUCUAUUCUUAUAGUACUUUUUUUAGUCUUAUUUAUACAAGUAACCUUAGUUUUACAAGUGAUUUUAUGGAUGAUUUUGUAGUCGUCCUCUCUAGUUUGAUGAAUGCUCUAAUCUUUUUUUUAUUUUUACCCGCCGCUUUAGAUCAUCCGUGGUUGAUUUUCUUAUCGCAUUAAGUGCUUGUAAUCACUCUAUAUAUAUCGUGCUUGAAUUGUGAUAAAGUCAAUUAUCAACGAGUUGAGUCAUGAUAUUGAGGAUAAAAUCUUUAAUCUGUUGUUUGAGUUUGUCUUUUACUAUCUAUGAUGAAUAUUUAUUAUUUUUUCUUUAAAUUUUAUGAUUCCUUUCAUUAAUUAAUAAAUUUACCUUUAAAUAUAUAUAUAUUUAUAAAAAUUAGAUAAUAACAUCACACCAUUUUAGAAUACAAAAUCAGGGAUCAAAUUUGUGAAAUUCUAAUAUUAAUGUAGAAAAAAAAAAAGAGAGAGUAGGUUGAGAUAUUAUAUAUUUAAUUUUCAGGCAGGUAAUUUGUAGGAAGAAAAAAGAAAAGUCAAAAUAGAAACAGUGACUAUUCCGCGUGAGUGAUCAAUGACGCGCUUUUCCUACUGCUUUUGCUUUUCCUCAGUGAUCAUGUUGCUGCUUUCACUUACUUUUCUACUAUAUUUCUCUUCUGCUUUACCCAAACUCUGUUGAAUCUCACCUUCUUUCAUGGCUUCUUUUUUUGACAUCGACACCGACACCGCCUUGAGAUUGUUACUAUCCUGCGCUGAAGCUAUUGAAGAAUAUGGGGAUCUGAAAAGCGCCGAUGCGUUCCUUCAUAAUAUCUUGAUUCUUGCUGAUCAGAUACCCAACUGGUUUCAAGAUGAAAUCAAAGUGGUGAAAUACUUUGCGGACGCUCUGGCUCGCCGAGCCUACGGACUGCAUCCCGCUUCUUCCUUCUUCACUUUCCCGGUUGAUCCUUUACCAUAUUAUCAUUAUAACAGCUACCAUAUUAAUGGCGUCAUAAAAAAAGUUGUCGAUGGUGCUUUGAUGGGAAGCAGGCGAUUGCACGUCAUUGAUUUCUCCAUCCCGUAUUGCAGGUUUCAGAAUUCAGUUCUUCGUACACUACCGAACUUCUCCGGCGAUCCUCUACCCGUCCGUGUAAGUUAC
rnacentral:lncRNA from 1 species